UGGGGAAUUUUGGACAAUGGGCGAAAGCCUGAUCCAGCAAUGCCGCGUGUGUGAAGAAGGCCUUCGGGUUGUAAAGCACUUUUGUCCGGAAAGAAAUCCUUGGCUCUAAUACAGUCGGGGGAUGACGGUACCGGAAGAAUAAGCACCGGCUAACUACGUGCCAGCAGCCGCGGUAAUACGUAGGGUGCAAGCGUUAAUCGGAAUUACUGGGCGUAAAGCGUGCGCAGGCGGUUUGCUAAGACCGAUGUGAAGUCCCCGGGCUCAACCUGGGAACUGCAUUGGUGACUGGCAGGCUAGAGUAUGGCAGAGGGGGGUAGAAUUCCACGUGUAGCAGUGAAAUGCGUAGAGAUGUGGAGGAAUACCGAUGGCGAAGGCAGCCCCCUGGGCCAAUACUGACGCUCAUGCACGAAAGCGUGGGGAGCAAACAGGAUUAGAUACCCUGGUAGUCCACGCCCUAAACGAUGUCAACUAGUUGUUGGGGAUUCAUUUCCUUAGUAACGUAGCUAACGCGUGAAGUUGACCGCCUGGGGAGUACGGUCGCAAGAUUAAAACUCAAAGGAAUUGACGGGGUCAUAGCUGUUU
rnacentral:rRNA from 1 species